rnacentral:lncRNA from 1 species
AUAGAUUAUCUGGUAAUUCUUUUUAGCCUUCGCCACUGAUCUCCGGCCGGCAGCCACACCAUGGAAUAUUUAUGGUGGUCAACCAGUCUGGCUGCAUCCGGGAUGACUCUGCUAGAGGAGGAUUGGUCAUGUUGGCGAUCAAGAAAUAUAGCAAUAAACAAGAACAGGGGUAAAAGGGGUAAAACUGGAAUUGGCAGCCGAAUGAUUACUUUAUUGACUGAAGAAUACUAGCAGCCUAAUGAUUAAGGUGCUAUACAAUGAAUUUUCGACUGAUGAAUUGUGAUCACUGAACUACUCUAUUUAUACUACUAAAUUUAACAGAAAAGAGAAAUACUAGGGUCAGUUUCUUUUCUAACGGUCAUGACUGCCCACGUUUUAUUUUUCCUAAUUACCAGGUCAUUCCUUGACCAACAUUUCUCCCCCUCAAGGUUGACCUUUCUUCUUCAGAUCUUCUAUGCCAAUUAGUGCUCUCAUCUCAGCAAACUUUAUCCUUGACAUUGCCUUUUUUAGAACAUCGGCCUUCUGUUGAUCUCCACUCACAUGUUCCACUUGAAUUUGCUCCCUUUCAACACACAUGCGAAUAAAGUGGAACCUUGUGUCUAUGUGCUUGCUUCUACCGUGAGAUACCGGAUUUCUUAUGAGUGCUAUGGUGGAUUGAUUGUCGAUUAGCAGCUUUACCUUCUGUGCUUUCUUUCCCAUCAGCUCACUGAACAAAUUUCUUAACCACAGUCCUUGACAUGCUGCUGCAGUUGCAGCCAUAUACUCAGCUUCACAUGAGCUGAGUGCCACUGUUUUCUGUUUCUGCGAAGCCCAUGUUAUGAGAUUUCCUGAGUAGUAGAAAGCUACUCCAGUGGUUCCCCUUCUAUCUUCACAAUCACUGUUGUAACUGCUGUCACUGUAUCCCACAAGUCUUCCAUCGCCUCCCCUGUGAUACUUUAGCCCAUACUGGGUUGUUCCCUUCACAUAUCUCAAGAUAUGUUUUAUAGCAACAUAGUGACUCUGUUUGGGUUUUUGCAUAAACUUGCUCACCACUCCAACACUGUAAUUAAGGUCUGGUCUUGUGUGGACCAGGUAUCUCAAACUCCCAACAAGCCUCCUGUACAUGGUUGCAUUUACUGGUUCACCAUCUUCAUCUUUGGUUAACUGAAGUUUUGGCUCCAUUGGGUAUUGAGAACUGUUGCAGCCUUCCAUGCCUGAAGCCUUUAGGAUCUUUUCAGCAUACCCUUUUUGUGUGAGCAUUAUACCAUCCUUCCCCUGUAAUACUUCAAUUCCCAAAUAAUAUGAUAAUAAUCCCAGAUCACUCAUGUCAAAUACUCUUUUCAUUCUUGUUUUGAACUCUUGGAUUCCCUUUUCACUCGACCCAGUGACAAUAAGAUCAUCUACAUAGACUCCAACUAUGAGAACAAGGUUGGAUUUGUGUACCUUGUAGACUGCUUGCUCUUGAGCACAUCUAGUGAAUCCAAGUGACUUGAGUGAUUGGUCGAGCUUUAUGUUCCAUGCCCUUGGCGCCUGUCGUAGCCCGUACAAGGCCUUAUGAAGACGAUACACCCAACCUUCCUUCCCUUUAACCGUGAACCCAGGGGGCUGAGUUACAUAGACUUCUUCCUUAAGAUUGCCAUGAAGGAAAGCUGACUUAACAUCUAGGUGAUGUACCUGCCAAUUCUCCUUUGUUGCUAUUGAGAGAAUUAGUCUUAUCGUCUCUAAUCUGGCAACUGGUGCGAAUGCUUCAUCAAAAUCGACACCCCUUUCUUGAACAUAACCCUUGGCGACCAAGCGAGCCUUAUACUUGAUUACUUCUCCAGCUGCACUUUUUUUUAAUUUAAAUACCCAUUUUAGCCCUAUUGCCUUGCGAUUUGGGGGCAAUUUGGCUAGGGACCAGGUUUUGUUCCUUUCAAUUGACUCCAAUUCCAAUUUCAUGGCCUGCUUCCAAGCUCUUUCAGUCACUGCUUCUUCAUAGGACGUAGGCUCAUCAUCAAUCAACAGUAGCUCCUGGUUCUUCUCAUACAAUUCUUGUAUUUCAGCCUCGUCCAAUCUUCUUGUGUUUUCGUAAAUCUCAUUGAGAGAUCGAAACCCUUUCGCUGGUGUGUCGUCAUACGAGGCGACAGACCCGGUUUCUGCUGAUGCUUGACCUGGUGGCGUUGAUCGUGACUCCAAUCUUUGUGUGCUAUGCUGUGGUGUGUCUCCAAACAUAGGAAUGUGAGUGCCGUAGUCUGGGUGGGAGUUACCCUGUACCGGCGUUAGUGGGUCUUCACUCACAUUAUCUGCUGGAUCAAUUACUUGGGCUGGUUGGGAUUGGGCUUCCAAACCUGAUACAAUAUUGUUAGUCCAAUAAGGAGUCGUAAGAGGCUCCCCCAUUGACUCGUCAUUCCAAGCCCAAGGUUUUGCUUCGUUAAACAUCACGUCUCUGGCUAUUACAAUACGUCGACUACUGGGAUUGUACAUACGAUAUCCCUUAGUUCCUUCUUCAGUUCCCAAAUACACCAUAGCCUCACUCCGGUCGCUUAAUUUUGUUUGACCUCGCAAUUUCUUGACGAACCCUACACACCCAAAGACCUUCAGGUGUGCUAAGGAUGGCUUGGACCCCUUCUAGGCCUCGUAUGGAGUUACGUUUUCCAAAGCCUUCGUUCCGAUUCUGUUCUGAAGGUAUACCGAGUGUCGUACCGCCUCGCCCCAAAAUUGAUCCGGUAGUUUCAUGGUCUUGAGCGAUGAUCGAGUCAUCUCUAGAAUUGUUCGAUUACGCCUCUCCACAACGCCAUUUUGCUGAGGCGUGUGUGGAGUCGUCAAUUGCCUGCGUAUUCCAGCGUGUUCACAAAAAUUGGUGAACUGGGCAGAAUUAAAUUCGCCUCCCCGGUCAGUUCGCAAUGCCUUGAUCUUAUACUCACUCUCUCCUUCAACUCGUGACUUGAACUUCUGGAACAUGUUGAACGCCUCGUCUUUGGUUUUGAUCAAAUAGACCCACAUGUAGCGUGAGUAAUCAUCUNNNNNNNNNNNNNNNNNNNNNNNNNNNNNNNNNNNNNNNNNNNNNNNNNNNNNNNNNNNNNNNNNNNNNNNNNNNNNNNNNNNNNNNNNNNNNNNNNNNNNNNNNNNNNNNNNNNNNNNNNNNNNNNNNNNNNNNNNNNNNNNNNNNNNNNNNNNNNNNNNNNNNNNNNNNNNNNNNNNNNNNNNNNNNNNNNNNNNNNNNNNNNNNNNNNNNNNNNNNNNNNNNNNNNNNNNNNNNNNNNNNNNNNNNNNNNNNNNNNNNNNNNNNNNNNNNNNNUUUUGUUGCAGGUGUAAUUGGCCCACAGAGAUCCGCGUGCAACAACUGGAGUGGGUCUUUUGCUCUCCACUGGGUCACCUUUGGGAAGCUCUGUCUCGCCUGCUUUCCUACCAUACAGCCUUCACACACUUGUGAUGGGUGAGUCAACUGGGGCAUACCUGUCACCAUCUCCUUACGUGUCAUUUCUUCAAGUAGUUUGAAGUUUGUGUGACCCAUACGUGCAUGCCAUAACCAUGAGUCAUCCUCUAUACUCAUGGCCAAGCAUAUAGGCUUUCCAGGUGUAAGCUUUAUCUUAUAAAGUCUGUUCUUGGAUCUCUGCACCUUCAUAACUAAGCUUCCUGCUUCAUCAUACAUUCUCAAGAACUCCUUCUUCAUCCCUAUGUCAUACCCUUCUUCAGUCAUUUGUCCUAGACUUAUUAUAUUACUGUGUAGAGCAGGAAUAUAAUACACGUCUGGGAUGACAAAUUGGUCACCAUUCUUGCAAUCAAACAGAAGAGCACCUUUUCCUUUGAUUGGAACCCUGGACCCAUCUCCGAAUCGAACCUGCCCCGUGACUUUCUCAUCUAGUUCUGCAAAUAAGCCCCUGCAUCCAGUCAUAUGGUUACUAGCUCCAUUGUCUAGAUACCAUAUGUUCUCUUCAUUGCUCUCCUUGAGUUGACUCGGAUAGACUUUUUCUUCAUUCAAAAGGACCAUCUCGGUAUUCUUUUCACCACAAACAGUCAACAAUAGAGUUGGUUCUUCUUCAUCAGCAGCCAAGUUAACUUCUUGGUCCUGUUGCUUCUUUGCUUUGCACUCUGAUGCAUAAUGACCAAGCUCUUGGCAUUCAUAACAUCUAAUGUUGCUCUUGUCUCGUGGUUUUUUGUUGACAAUGUUUGUCUCCUGUCGUGAGUCACCGCCCCAGCGACCACCUCUGCCACGGGACGAACCUCGUCCUCGUGUGCUGCCUCUUCCUCCCCAGUUGUUACUUCCUCCUCUUCCUCAGCCACCUUGUGAGUUCGGCUUGCUUGGACUCCGGUGGGUUGAUGAACCUUCAGCCUUGGCAAGUAGCAGGGCAUUAUCAGCUUGUGUGCUUGCCUUCUGGAGUCGGAGCCUGUCUUCAUAUGCUUUCAAAUGCCCAAUUGCUUCUUCAAAUGGCAUUGAUUCCAUAUCACAGCUUUGCUCCAUUGAUGCCACCAGAUUUAUGAACUUCUCUGGGACUGUAUCAAACAAUUUUCUUACCAAUUCUUCGUCUUCCAAUAUUGCCCCUGCACUCCCAAAUUUAGAGAUCAUUGCUGAGAUCUUCCCAGCAUAUUCAUCUAUAGAUUCUGUUUCCUUCAUCUGAAGUGCUUCAAACUCACUCUUCAGUACCCUCAGCCUUGCCUUUUGGACCCUCUCUGCACCCACAUAACGUGACUUUAGAGAGUCCCAAACUUCCUUAGCUGUCUUCUUCUUGGCAGCCUGUGCAAGUAUUUCUUCUGGUAUUGACUGGAAGAUGAAAGCUCGAGCCUGCUUGCUCUUCUUCUCAUCCACAACCACUCCGGUUGGUGGCUCUAUGGCAUCCCAUAACCCAUGGGCAUCCAUGAUGGCUUCCAUCCUAAUUGACCAGGUGUUGUAAUUUAGUGAGGUUAACAUUGGGCACUGUAGGGUGAAGGGGCUGUCCUUGGACUGAUUGGAUGAAGAUGGGGCUGUCAUCUUGUUGAAUCGAGGGUACUUGGGCAUACAAUUGAUCAGGAUCUGUUUGUCUCUGAUACCAAAUGUUGGCGAUCAAGAAAUAUAGCAAUAAACAAGAACAGGGGUAAAAGGGGUAAAACUGGAAUUGGCAGCCGAAUGAUUACUUUAUUGACUGAAGAAUACUAGCAGCCUAAUGAUUAAGGUACUAUACAAUGAAUUUUCGACUGAUGAAUUGUGAUCACUGAACUACUCUAUUUAUACUACUAAAUUUAACAGAAAAGAGAAAUACUAGGGUCAGUUUCUUUUCUAACGGUCAUGACUGCCCACGUUUUAUUUUUCCUAAUUACCAGGUCAAUCCUUGACCAACAGGUCAUAUGUUUGAAAGACUUCUUUGGCGAUAUGAGGUGAUGAAACUACCAUGGUUGUUAUGCUUCCAAGUUUAAGAGACAUUAACGGGCCAUAAUAUUUAGAGAGCGUUGCGAGGGAGUAGUGGGGUUUGUCGCCAAGUUCUAAAAGGUUUCCGAUUAUCAGAUAAGGGUAGGGUCCCGGUGGAAGCCGCGACUUGCGGCGACAAGAGAUGAUGAAGGCACAGAUGAAUGUUAAAAAGAAAGAAAGUACGGGAAAAAUGGUUAGAUAAUCC